UAAUGCCAUCUGUAUAUAAUGUCCAUAGUACCACUAGUAAAUGUUUUCAUAAUACUGCUCUAUCCUGCAUUUAUGCUCACACUUUAUAUCCUGCACUUACUUAUUGCUCUUCUGGUUCGACCUAAACUGCAUUUUGUUGCCUUGCACUUGUACAUGUGGAAUGACAAUAGAGUUGAAUCUAAUCUAAUUUAUUUGUCAGACCCUGUGUAACUGGUAAUUGCGCCAUGUCUUUCAAACUCCACACCUCCAGUUUGUAACGCAGGCUCUGUUUUAAACGUACAGUCUUAAAGCCUCUGAAUACACAUCUGUUUCACAGGCUUAAUAGUACUAACAGUGACUCGUAAACUGAUCCGCAUGUGUAAAAUCAGUGGAAUGCCCCUAUAAAGUUCACAAACAACUCUUCAAUGUACUGAAAAUAAGCUAUUAUUAGGUAUCACAGUGCUGUUUACUCACAUAGUCAGCUUCAAGCUUAUUUGGGAGAGAGGCAUGUAAAGUCUUUUUGGCCUGCAAAAACGGUCUGUGGGUCAUUCCCUCUUAUAACAGCAUAAUUACAUAAUCACAUGUAAUUAUUGUAAUGGAACAACAUGGCUCCAGUGUUGGAGGCGGGUCAGCAUGAACAAGUGCUUGAUGAUGUUUAGGAAUUAUGGAUGAUUACAUCCUCAUUUUGUAAAUGUCGGUUACAGUAAGUCUGUCCAUUGGCAGCGUCUGUCAGAACUGUAUGAACUGAUUUCCAUGAAAUGUUUUAGAGGGAGACUUCGCACUGAUGUACAACAUUCCAGUGGAGAUCCGAAUCUGGAAAUUAUGUUUUUACAAAGUUGGAGACAAAGAUCAUUUUGGCUAAUGGCAAAAUUAACUAGUAACUUACUGGGUUUCCAAAUCUCAACAUGCCACAUCAAAACAUGAAUUUACUCAACUUGAAUUUGGAUAGAAGGAAGAGAGCAACAUUCCAGUUCAGAGAUACAGACAGGUGACAAAUCCAAGGAAAAAGCUGAAUAAACGAGUGUGGCAACAUUAAUGCAGAUGCUUGCAGAGGUCACGGGGCUCACUGAGUACUUCCAUGAGGAUGAAAUUGAUGUGAACCGUAUGCUAUGGCCAGCGUCACCACAACCCAACUGAACGCAUGAGAGGGAGGCGGCUUCGGAGUUGUUAGAGUUGUUCACCUUUGGCAGAACGCUGUAGGUGUUAUGGUGUGUCCAACAGAAAAGCAAGAGCAUUCAAUGGAACAGGACCCAAACGCAGACUAGUAGAGCCGGUGCAGAUCAAUCAUUUUAUUAACAAAAGAAGGCUUACACUGAAUUGGCGGGCAAAAGCAACUCUCAACAGGUAAGCAGUCCAAAACAGAAAAACAAAUCCAACGGUGAGCAGGCUUCCACAGACAGGCAAGGAACAAGGGACACAAAGAUCCAAGAAACCAGGGUGCUUGACAGAAAUACAACAACGCAAGGACUAAAUACACUUAGGUUAGGGAGACAAUGAGACACAGUUGGAACUGAUCAAGACACAGGUGACAACAAUGAAAGACAGGAAGCAACGCUAAAAGACACCUGAGGGAAGGAGGCUAUUUCAAAAUAAAACAGGAAACAACAGAACACAAACCUACAACCAUGACAGUAGGGUUGUCUGAUGAGACAAUACACACCACGAGAUGAUAGAAAUUUGUCAGAGAUUUUACCAUACUGUUUAUACCAUUCGAUUCAUGUAAUACCUCUGCUGUGGUUGUAUUUGAGCAUUGUGGAAAACAUUGUAAAUCAAUGAGCAGGACUGAUUUAUGGCAAUAUUUUUGCCAUAGUACCAUCAUUGGUCAGGUAUUUCAUUUGCUGGAUACACUAAAAGCAGUCAGCUUAUUUUGUCCUUCAACACUUCCUCAAUUGAUUUUCCAGAAAAUGUCCUAUAUCAUGACACAUAUCAAUAUCGCUCUAUAAAUUACAUAUAUAAUGGCUUUAUUCAUAUCGUCCACACCUAGAACUCAGCUAGCCUGCUUGCAGCCUUUGUGCUAAGCUAGGCUAAACAUGUCCUGGUCCUAUCCCAUUGAUUGAUAUCAAUUUCCUGAACUGAUUGUGGGUUUGACAGCAAACAAGUAUAUUUAAUAAAAUGUCAGUGUUCUUUUAUCAUAAAGAUAAUAGCAAUGAUGUGUGAGGAUGUAAAUUUGCAAGCUGAAGAAUUGUUUAGCUUUAGCAUAAACAGGUGGAGAUAACGUUGUUUUCACUCUUUUUUCUGAGAUCUGGCUCUAUAAUUUGAAAGCCUGAUAGAGUUGUUAUUGGUUAUAACAUGUUUGAAGCUGGUGCAGUCUAUGUGUUGCUUUCAGCCUUUUCGCUGUGUCAGAUGCUUUGUUUCUGCCACUGCGAGUUGCCAAAGUGCCUAAACAUGUAGACUUCUAAGCAAUAAAAAGCGUGCACUCAGCGCAGUAGGAAGCUGAGAACAACAUUCUCUGCAUGCUGUGGUUCUUUCAUUGCUGUUCAAUUACAUGGCGUCUGUUUCAGACAGAGUGGCGUACAUGCUCUGCGCUGUCACGCUGGAAUUUCCAGAGGGAGCCUUCCAGAUCUGUGGCCACAGCAGUGAAGGAGCAUGUGGUGUCAGUGAGGCAGAGCAAACCCAGUGAGGGGAGGCUGAAAGGCCAGAAGCCCCCAGCACCAACACUGAGAGGGCUGGCUUUCACGAAAACAACACAACCAUGGAAUCACUAUAAAUCUUGUCUGGUUUUUGAGCACAAAGCUGAGAAAUAUAAAUACACCGUGAAGCACUGUUAGGACCACAGCAUGCCAAGACAGCGGGAGAGAAAGCCCGAGAGGGGUGUGUCUGCACAUGCACCAAAAUCUGCAUCAGAUGAGGUGAGGCGGGGAAAGACAGUAAGCUCUGUCGCCAAAGAAUACGCUCGUGACACUGAGCAGACACUGCAAGAAAUUACGAAAGCUCAGAAAACAAGGAUCGAGACAGCCGCCAGACACCUUUCCCCGGGGGGCAGGUUGUAACAGUGGAACUUGUAUUGGACUUUAAUGAAUUCAUUCUGUGAUACAGUUGGAGAAGUUGGAAAGAUUGCUAUUUGUAGUAGACAGAUUCAGGUACAUGUGAGCGCUCUAACACAACACAUGAGCGACUUAUUGGUGCUGAGACAAUAAGUGGUCCAAACAUAACCAGUCUCCCCGGUGACUGCAUGUGAUUCACACAUUUCUAAUGUGUAGUUCAGUUUGUAGCUUACAACACAAAUGUGACUGGAUGGUGCACUGUGGGAAAACAACAACAAACAUGUUCAUACGGUGCAGAGCUGUACGUGAACUCUGGUCCACGGUGCCAUCUGCAGGACUCUGCAGGACCAGUCAGACCACUUCCCCUCAAAAUUCAAAUACAAAUAUUGUACAACAAUAUUACUGUUCUCUUAAUAACAGUUUCUGUUUGAUUGUUUUCUUCAAAGAAACCCAUUCCACUCAUUCCAUAUAUUUGUUAAGUGGCAAGGACCGUAGCAGACUGAGAAGAAGUGACUGUUACUGCGAUGCGGUAAAAUGAAUCUUCAUCUGUGUCAAUAUGAAUAUGAUCCUUAUGUGACCUGCAGUUACCUGCUGUGGAAACAAGAGACACAUUGUUAGGGAACACCAGUGCUGGUUGACACUGUUUUCCAAAUCAGUGUGAUCUCACAAGAUUAAUAUCAAGAUCAUUACAAAGCCUAUCGUCUUGAUUAGAAUACACAUUUCCUUAAUACUUGCAAAACACUGAAAUAAGAAGUUACCAGGCAGCAGUGCCACACUGACACACUGACUGUUCGUCCUGUUACAGGGGAUGUUGAGGCUUCAUCAGCCUCACCUGCUGGUGCAGAGGCUUACUGACACCUUUGACUUAGAAAACAAUAUAGUUGGACGAUCUCCACAUCAGCCAGCCCUCCCAGGGCUGUGCGCGCUCUGCUGUCCUGUGCAUCUUGUAGACUAAGGCCUGUUGCAAUGAAUUCUUAAGUUUGCAGACAACACUGUUAGAAAUGGUAAGGACGUAGAAAUCACGGAGUCUUCUAAGUACUAUAAUAAACAAUUGAAUAAAGUUGAAUACCAAUAUGGACUGUAAGAAAAUUCAGCAGCGUGUUCUUUGUUUGAGAAGGCUGGCUGAGUUUCAUGUCGACGGGUCAGCAGUGAUGGCACUGCUCUGUACUAACUACAUUUGUACAUUUGUACACUCCAUACGUCACCAAAUAUAUGAAUAAAACUACUCAAGACACCUUCA